UACGGAGGGUGCGAGCGUUGUCCGGAAUCAUUGGGCGUAAAGGGCGCGUAGGUGGCCCAGUCAGCGUGCGGUGAAAGCUCGGGGCUCAACCCCGGGUCGGCCGUGCGAACUACUGGGCUGGAGCACUGUAGAGGCAGGCGGAAUUCCGGGUGUAGCGGUGGAAUGCGUAGAGAUCCGGAAGAACACCGGUGGCGAAGGCGGCCUGCUGGGCAGUUGCUGACACUGAGGCGCGACAGCGUGGGGAGCAAACAGG
rnacentral:rRNA from 1 species